rnacentral:rRNA from 1 species
UUGAACGCUGGCGGCAGGCCUAACACAUGCAAGUCGAGCGGAUGAAGGGAGCUUGCUCCUGGAUUCAGCGGCGGACGGGUGAGUAAUGCCUAGGAAUCUGCCUGGUAGUGGGGGAUAACGUCCGGAAACGGGCGCUAAUACCGCAUACGUCCUGAGGGAGAAAGUGGGGGAUCUUCGGACCUCACGCUAUCAGAUGAGCCUAGGUCGGAUUAGCUAGUUGGUGGGGUAAAGGCCUACCAAGGCGACGAUCCGUAACUGGUCUGAGAGGAUGAUCAGUCACACUGGAACUGAGACACGGUCCAGACUCCUACGGGAGGCAGCAGUGGGGAAUAUUGGACAAUGGGCGAAAGCCUGAUCCAGCCAUGCCGCGUGUGUGAAGAAGGUCUUCGGAUUGCAAAGCACUUUAAGUUGGGAGGAAGGGCAGUAAGUUAAUACCUUGCUGUUUUGACGUUACCAACAGAAUAAGCACCGGCUAACUUCGUG